rnacentral:rRNA from 1 species
GAUGAACGCUGGCGGCGUGCUUAACACAUGCAAGUCGAACGAAGAGUUUCUGUCGGUGGGCACUUAGUGGCGGACGGGGGAGUAAGGGGUGGGUAACCUGCCCUGAACUGGGGGACAACAGCUAGUAACGGCUGCUAAUACCGCAUAAGCCCUUAGCACUGCAUGGUGCAUAGGGAAAAUGAGCCAUCCUGUACAGGAUGGACCUGCGUCGGAUUAGCCAGUUGGCAGGGGAACGGCAUACCAAAGCGACGAUCAGCAGCCGAUCGGAGAGGAUGUACGGGCACAUUGGGGAUGAGACACGGACGGGAAUCCUACGGGAGGGAGCAGAGGGGAAUAGAGCACCAUGGAGGAAACUAUGAAGGUGCGACGCCGGGUGAGUGAAGAAGUAUGUCGGGAUGUAAAGCGCUAUUAGCAGUAAAGAACAUGACGGUACCUGACUAAGAAGCACCGGCUAACUACGUG